rnacentral:tRNA from 1 species
GCGGACGUGGCGAAAUGGUAGACGCGCUGUCUUCAGGUGGCAGUGCCUUAGGGUGUGAAGGUUCGACUCCUUUCGUCCGCAC